rnacentral:tRNA from 1 species
GCGGAUGUAGCUCAAUGGCAGAGCACCUGACUGUGGCUCAGGUGGUUGGGAGUUCGAGACUCCUCAUCCGCCC